GCUAAUGUAAAUGGAAUUGUUUUCUUAAUUUCAUUUUUGGAUUAUUCAUUUCUAGUUUAUAUAAAUAACAUUAAUUUUUGCAUAUUGAUCUUGUAUCAUGCAACCUUACCAAACACAGUUCCAAUAGGUUUGGGGUGGGUUUUUUUAAUUUCUUAAGAUUUUUUUGUAUGUAAGAUCAUAUUUAUAAAUAGAGACAAUUUUAGUUCUUCAUUUCUAAUCUAGAUACCUUUGAUUUUGUCUUUUGUUGUCAUUGUUGUUCUUUUUCCAGUGCAAUAUUGAAUAGAAGUAGUGAGAAUAGAUACUUAUCUUGACUCUUAUUGUAGGGGGAACAAUUCAAUCUUUCAGUGUUAAAUAUGGUAUUAACUGUGUGUUUUCAUAUAUGAUUUUUACCAAGUUGAAAAGGUUAAUUUUUAUCCCUAGUUUUGAGUGUUUUUAUCAUGAAGAAGUAUAGGAUUUUGUUCAAUGUUCUUUUCUGCUAAGCUUCAUAUUUAAAGGAUACUUUGCUGGCUAUAGAAUUCUUGGUUGGCACUGCUUUCUUUCAACAGUUUGGAUGUAUCCUUCCACUGCCUGAGCUUAAUUGUUUAUAUUGAGAAAUCAACUCAGUCUAAUUGUCAUUUAUUUUGAAAGUAAAUUGAGUCUUGUUUACCCCCUUACUCUUAAAGUUUCCUUUUCCAUUGGUUUUCAGCAAUUUUAUUGUGAUAUACCUAGGUGAUGAUAUUUAUUUAUUUAACAGUUUGUAAGUGCUCUUGGAUCUAUGACAAUAUUUUUUGUCAAUUUGGAAAUGUUUUUUUGCCAUUUUCUCUUCAAAUAGUGCUCCUUCCCCUUUUUCUCUUUUCUCCCUUUCUGGGAUUCUAAUUAUAUACAUUUUAGAACUUAUCACUGUGCUCUUCUUGUCUUUUAGCUUUUCUCAUGCAUCACCAAAUUUUUAUUUUUCCAUACUUAAUUGUAGGUAUUUUUUUCUGACAUAUCUUUCUUCAGCUGAGUUCAAGCUAAGUCUGUUCAUUCAUACAUAAAUUCAUGUAAAUUUAUCCUUUUUUUAGAAUCUAAAAAUCCUGUUGAAAGUCUCAGUUUUGUCUCUAAUCUCCUUGAAAAUAAUAGGUGUUAUUUAGAAUAUGUGUCUGAUAAUGCCAAUAUUCGAACCCUCUAUGUGUCAAUUGUCUGCUAUUGUUAUGUUUGAUUCAUGUUUUAGUGUCUCUUUAAGCUAUGCUUUUAUUUAUUUUUUGGUUUUCCUGACAUCGAUUUGCAAAAUAACUUUUAGAAAUAAUUGGCACCCUAGGAUGAUGCUAGCUUCCUUUUGAAAGGAUUAUUAUUGCUUCUGAUGCUUCCUGGAAGCAGUAACACUCUGGAAUUAUCUCAUCUGGUGAUGACUCAAAGCUGAGCUCUAAGUCCUGUAAAGACUUACUACUGCAGAUUUGCCAUUACUGCUAGAGGACAUUUUUUGGGUGACCCAUCCCAAAUCAAGGGGCAUUAACCAGGACACCUUUCUCUACCUUGAUAGUGCCCUAUUGUCAUAGCCCUCACAAGAGUAUAAAAUUUGCUCAGCCUUUCAGCUCUUUUCUAGAAUUGACAAAAGCAGUUUCAUCAUCAAAUCUUAACCAAUUCUGUAUUUUAUUCCUUUAAAACAGGGCUUUUUUGUCCUCCCUGCUUAUAGCUAGCUAUGCUAACAAAGCAAUUAGUAAUUGUGGGAAAAGCUUAAGCAUCUUCUCUCUGAUUUCGGAGUCAUUCAUUUUUUUCAGUAGCUUCUACAAGAUAAAGUCCAUGCAUGAGUAAUAUAAAGCACAGGAGAAUAAUAGUAACAAUUUAAGUUCUUCUAAGAUAGGAGGAUGGGCAGCCAGUGCAUGAACUUAUUUUAUAGGAGCACAAUCUAUUGCAGAUCCCAUUAUCUUCUGUUAAGUGGCCCUCUACCAUGAAUGGCCGUUUUAAAUAAUCUUUGUGCCUAAUUAAAAAUGAAACUCGUAGGAGCAAUAAUUGACUUGACCUGCAAAAGCUUCCUGUACUUCCUAUGAAUUUAUUCAUCUUCAUCUACAACCUUCAGAUGCUCAACCUGAUCCAUGUAAAAAUUUUGGCAUGCUUGUAAGUUCCUAUAAUGCCCCAGUUAAGUCCCACUAGUAAUAAUGUUUGAGCAAAUUUGUACUAAUCCUGCCUGUGUUGCUCUUGCUUUGUAGGAAGAAAUUUGAGGCCGUAAAACUAUCAAACACUUUUAUGAGCUACAUUCCAUAAAAUAUCGUCACUUAAGUGGAAAAGAAAACUGCAAUACUCCAGGGAACAUGCUUUAUUCUCCAGUCCUGGAAGCAUGAUGUUUAAUGAGUACCUACCAGCACACCUGUGCAUGCCUGCCUUUACUGGAUCAAAAAUAUGCAUUCUCUCAGACUUCUGAGCUCCAGAUGGCUCACAGAGAUUCUGCCACCAACUCUUCGUAGGAAAGCUUAUUGGUAACCAGCUACUCAACUGGACUCUCUCCUAAUGGCAUCAAUCACACUAUGAAAGAUUUCUUUUGGACUUUUUGUUUAUCCAGAUGAAGAUGACCGGCAGGAAGUUGGGAUGUGAGACUCGCUUGAAAAAUCUCGGCUGGAAUCACCUAUUUGGGAUUCUUGUGCAGGUAGGCAAUAAUUGAAAAUCAUAAGGUAGAUGAGAUUAUCAGAAGCAAAGGUAUGAGAAGUGAAAAGUAAAGAUGAAUAAACCUCAGGCAGGAACAUUUAGGGGACAGAAGGAGGAAGAAGAAGCCUCAAAGUAGACAGAGAAGGUGGGGUCAAAGAGGUAGGUAGUUAUUACUUCCCUCAGGGGGUUAUUUCUGCUAGUUUCAAGACUGAGAACUACUGUCUUAGUUUAAUGAUAGAAAAUGAUGGAAAUAGCUAGGAGGAAGUAAGUUGGUAAAUAUGGAUUAGGCCAAGGCAAAUUUGAUGCACUGAAUAGAAUUUUUUGCAGCCAUUUACUUUUAAAACUUCUUUUUACAAUGCUACUUCAAAAUUGGUUUAUUUUCCCAGGUAUCCCCCCACACACUUUUAAAUAAAAGUAGUAGGCGCUACUAGUAGAUAAAGAAUUCCUGAUAAAUUUUUUAAACAUUCAGGAAUAUUCUGCUGAGUUUUAAACUUGUUUCAAAUGUGAAUUGUAUCACUAGCAAUUGAUUUUAUAGUAGACUUUGAAUCAAAAAUAGUCAGUUAAUUGAAUGAUUUUAUCUCAGCUACUAAUGUACACUUUUCUCUUUCUAGUAUUUUGUAUCUGAAAUACUAAUCCCUCUUUGCCCUCUGGUUUUCAGUCUUUAGUAAGUUAGAUAAUAACAUUUUACUUUUUAAAAAUUUCAAUUUGACAUAAGUGCAGUUUCUUCUCUAAACUUUAAUAGUGCUAAAGCCACAGAAAUACUCUUCAAUAUUCAGAUUUGGGGGGGGGGAGUCGAUAAACACCCAGUGUAUUUCUAUUGUAUCAGUAUGUGAUGCUUCUACAGAAAGCAAAAAAAAGUGAAAAAAUAAUUUUAUUGCUCAAGAUCAAAACUUAUUUGCUGUCUUUUUUUUUCCUUUGAAGUAUACAUGAUUUAACAUAUUAUAUUAGUUUCAUGUGUACAACAUAGUGAUUCUAUAUUUUGUAGAUUACACAUUAUGCAAAGUUAUUGUAAAGUAUUGACUAUUUCCUGCGUUUGCUCAAUCUUAAUAAAAAUAUGCAUAAUUCAGGAAUUCCUGUCAUGGCUCAGCACUAAUGAGUCUGAUUAAUAUCUAUGAAGAUGUGGGUUUGAUCCCUGGCCUUGCUCAGUGGGUUAAGGAUCCGACGUUGCUGUGAGCUGUGGUGUGGAUCACAGAUGCAGCUCAGAUCUGGCAUUGCUGCAGCUGUGGUAUAGGCCAGCAGCUACAGCUCUGAUUUGACCCCUAGUCUGGGAACUUCUAUAUGCUGUGGAUAUGGCCCUAAAAGGACAAAAAAAAAAAAAAAAAAAAAAGAAUGUGCACAUUUUGUAGCUCUCUGAAUAUUUUUGCUAAUGUAGGUUUUUUCUUUUUAAGAAAUCAAUAAAAGCUUUGGAAAAUUGCUGUUAAACUGCAGACAGAAUUUUUUCUUCAAUUAAUGUCUUAAUUUAAUUUCAAUCGAUACAAGAAAUUCCAAAAAGAAUCCUAGUAAUUACCCAGACCGUUUAGAAAGUGUUGGUAAUUUCUAUUUAUUUGUUAUGGUUAUUUUUAAAGGAUAUUUUGCUUGGCAAAUUUUUUUCAAAAAGAAUUUAUGUCAUAGUAAAUAGGUUAGGAGAAGAGAACUAGAAUAAAAAUUCUUAAAAGAUGAGAAACACUCAAUGGCAAUUUAACAGUGUUCUCCAAAGGCAGUUAAUUCAUUUUGGAAGAUGAAAAAUAUCUAGCCUCCUACUUAUAAUUAUUUCUUGUCUAAAAAAUAGAAAAGAAAUUCAGUUGUACUAAUCAUUAAUAUAGAUAUUUACACUGGCACCUCACUUGCCAUGCAUAUCAGGAGGUCAUGGAUCAUAAAAUGAGGGCAAGGUACACAGAGAGCUCACUGUGACAUCCCGCACUGCUCCACCACUCCUGGGUUCCCUUUCAGCAUUUUGCUAUGUAUUUCAAUUUCUUUGUCCCAUUAGGCGAAUUUCAAAAUUUAUUAUUUUAAGUAGAAAGACAAUGACCACAAAAUUUUGAACUGCAAAGCCAUUCACUAAUUAUCUCUUGAAGUACUUGAAGUGGUUGUUGAAAUAAAAUUUGAGUUACACAUUUUUCUUUUAUAGAUUAGGUAAGUGCUUCAAAUUUGCUGAACUUGGCUGCAAGUAGUAGGUGGGUCUCAAUAGAAUGCUACUUUAUAGAUUUUUUUAAAAAGACACAUUUGAAUCCAGCCCAUCAAGAUAAAGUGGAUGUUUUAACAUGAGUGAUUUACUAAUUGUUUUUGAAACUCAUUAAUAUAGAGAAAGUAUUUUGAAAAUGGAUCUUCAGAGAUGUUUCCAUUGUUAUGUGAUUUUGUUGCAUUUUAACAGCAGAUGUAAAUGUGAGUGACAUCUACAGAUACGGUCAUGAUUGCUUCUUAUUUUUUUAAAAAAGCUAACAUUGUUAUAGUCUGUUUAAAAACCUUCUAAAUCAAAAUGUCAGUGGAUCUAGAACUCAUUGCUGAGAGUAUAACAACACAACAACAACUUCUGAUUAGGUGUCAAAAACAAGUACCUUAUACUCAAGAAGACAGGAAGUUGCUGAAUUUCAAAAAAUGUGUAAUUGGUAGAUGAGACUGAAAAUAAGUAUUUCCCUUGAUGUCAUUUAGAUGGAAUACAAUAUUUUUUGUCAAGUAUCUUCUUCAGCUAUGUUAGCCUUUAAAACCAAGUUUAAAAAGUUGAACUUUUAACUUGACUUUCAGUUGACUAAAUAUUAAAAUGACUUGCAUAGAAAUUCACUGUAUUCAAUUAUAUUGCUUUCAUUAAAAAUAAUCAAUAUUUUUAAAAGCAGAGACUUUAUUAUUAGUAGCUUUAAAAUUAUUUAAACAUUAUUUCAUCUUUAAUCUAGAGUUUAAAACCUUCUACUCAUAUACUUAUAACUAAGUAUAUGUGGUAUUUCAUACAAUAAUAGAGUAGUAUAGAUAUAUACAUUUCCUAAAUAAAUAUAUACCUAUAGGAUACACAAAAUUUGUUAACUUUUAGAGGUUUACUAUUCAAAUAGUUUAGAGUUUAUUCUAUUAAUAAAGUAGAAUGAACAAAAUAAAAUGUUUUUCCGUGAGAGUAAGAAUCUUAUUGAAGAGUAAACAGUACCUUAGUAUCUAUUAUUACAUAAGCAACAACAAGGGCUGCAUUAUGACUUUCAUGGGCCCUAGGCACUUUGCCUUCCUGGGCCUCUUCUUCUAUGAAAAUAUUUUAAAUUAUGUUUUAUGACUGCAUUGGCAUACAAAUAAAUAUGUUAAUAUUACUUCUUAUCUCUAACCUAAAAUUUCAUUUUUUCUUAUGAUUUUUAAGACAAAUUAAAACAUUUUUAUGUUUUAAAUAAAGUUUCGUGGGACCUAGGUCCUGUGCCACAUGGAUAAGUUGGCCUUGACACCAACACUUUAAGAGAUAAAAUACAGCUUUUCACAUUCAGAUUUCAGUGCCAUAGCUAGUACACCAUUUGUUGCAAAGUAGCCACACAUAAGAACCAAGUAUGUUUUAUAAGGAAGGACUAAUGUUCACAGGAUAUGUGUUUUCUCUAAAUGAUCUGUCAAAGACAUUACUUAAGUCUUGUUUGAAAGAUGGUGGAGUCCUCAGAACAGCAGCCAGAAGGAGAGAAAGCAGAGAAUAUGAACCUGAAGCUAUGCCUAGGAGCAGGUGGAGUACGUGCAGGUACUACCAGCAUCACUAAAACAAUUGUGAGGGGCCAGUCUUUCAUUAAACUAAAACCCAGCUCCUCCCCAUGUCCUGCAGUCCUUACCCACACCCUUUUCUCCUCUCUUCUUUGCCAAGCCCCUACCACAUGGGCUUUCCUGCUGUUCCUCAGACACAAAAGUACUAAGCUCACUGCAGCCUGAAGGCCUUUUCUGGGACACUCUUUCCCUGCAUUAGGGUAGAGCCACUCCCCUGUGUCAUUUAGGCCUCUGUUUACAUGUCACCUCCCUAGUCUUUCCUCGCCACCCCUUCCCUCACUACUCUGUUACAAAUCCUCUUUUAUUUUCUUCAUAGCAUUGAUCACUCUCUGAAUCUAUCUUGAUUCAUUUAUUGCUUUUCUAUCACCCCAAAUGGAACAUAAGCACCGUGGUUACCCAGGGUGUCUGAAACAGUGCCUGGCAUUCAAGAGAUACUUAUCAAAUGAAUAAACUGAGCUCAGUGUAAAAGCUACUUCAGUCCCACCUUCCUCUGCUACUACUCAGGCCUCUCAAUUUGCGGCUCUGUCUACUUUUCCCUUUUAGGAAUGUCAUAUCUAACUCAAUACCCACUUCAGUGUAAUAUAUCUGAAAACCACUUUCAUAACCGGAUACAGAAGAGUGCAGUACCACUAAGUAGCUGGAAAAAACCUAUCCUAACAUCUUAAAUGUUUGUUUGUAUUUAUUAGUGCUAAUACACUUCACAUGAGUAUGUAUCACAUUAUCAACUACUUGACCUUCUGUUGCUAAAUAAAACAUCUCUGUGCUGCAUCUGUAACUUAGAUGACAGUUUGGGUAAAAUGACAGCACAUAAGUAUUUCUACUGCUCAUAUAUCUGAUUCUCAAAAGUGGAGACCUUAGCAGAGAAUGCAAUGUCUAAUGUUUAAAAUGUAAACAGUAUCAUUCUUAGGGCCUCUUACUCUAGCCAACGGAGCUAUUCCCAAGCAGGAAAGUUUUUGAAGUGCUUUAUCGCCUGCUUUCAUUCUCUGUGAGGUGGUUGUGGUAAGUCUACCAUCCAGUAGACUUCUAACAGCACUAACUGUUAGUACUCACUUUAAAAAACCACAGAGGAUGGUGUUCAAGGCCUGCCCCACGUCCCUAGAUGCUGAUUUUUGUCUUCAGUCAUGAAUCCUUCUGCGAGAACCUCUUCAACUUUCUGUUCUUCUUGCACAUACUGCAUUGCCCAUUACUGUGGGAGUGCAUUACCCCCAGGGAGUGCAUUACCCCCACAGGUACUCACAAACCAAUCAACCAAGAGGUAUUUAUUUACUGCUGAUGGUGUGCUCAGUACUGUGCCAGAGCUUUGAGGAGAUGGAGGUGAACUAUAAAAAAAAUAAUUCCUGUCCUUGAGAACUUAUAGUCCAAAUAAGAGACAAAAUUACUAGGCAUUAUAAAAGUGUUGAUGAAUGUUAACUAGAUGUAUUGUUGUGAUCAUUUUGUAACAUAUUUUAUUGUGUACUUGAGACUAAUAUAAUGUUAUAUUUCAACUAUAUCUCAACUUUUUAAAAAGGUGUAAAAUAAAAUCAACACAUUUUUAAGAAGCAUUGAAUCUUAGAGGAAAAAUACAACUACAGGAGGCAGACCUAGAGCCCAUUCUCCAAGGAGGAGAGAAGGGCAUUUUAGGCAAAUGGAUAAAGGCAUAAAGAAAGCAUGAAUAUGGCUUAUUUGUGGACUCUGAGGAGACCUGAUUAAAAUGGAGCCUAUGUUGAAAAAAAAGUGGGAAUUGCGGUGAGUUAGCAAAUGAGAACAUAUCAUCAAGACGUUGAAUGCUAGGCAGAAGCAUUUCUAUUUGUUUGAGCAGAAACUUGGAAUUAUAUUUACUCUCAUCUUUUUCCCCAUGUCCCAAAUUUGUAGAGAAAAUAAAAGACCUCUUUUUGUUGAGUAAUUCCUUCCUGGAAGUCUUCUAUUUGUAGUAAUGACAGUCAGAACCCUCUGAAGGUAUGUUAAGAAUAGUUGCUGAAACCUCAAGCCAGGAGUUUUAGCAUUUAUAUGUUUUUUCAUAAGGUUCUUUUACUAUUUUUAACCUUAAAUAAUUUGGUUUGGAGGAAUGAGGGAAAUGAUCUUUAAUGAGAGGUGACUUUUUCUGACAGCGAAUGUAUUUUUCAUUUCAGUUGGUCUUAGGAUACUUUCUCAACUAUCAUAAGCUGCUUUUGGUUUGUCUCAGGGCCUGGAAAAAAUAUAUAUUACUUGCAGCUGGGUAAUAAAAGCACUAAAUUUAUUUUAUUUUUAAUUUAAAGUUUAUUUCUAUCACUCUGUGCCCUAAAUUAUAGUCAAAGGAAAGAAAAAAAAAUUGUGGAGUGUAUGUUAUGGACCAGUGUAUUAGUCAGGAUAGACUAAGAUAAAUUGCUGUAAAAAAUUUAGUCUCAAAUCCAGGAGUUUAACAAAACAAAAAUUAAUUUCCAUCAUGGAAUGGCAGAGGUCCUGUUUAAUAGGUGCUCAGAGACCCUGGCUGACAGAAACAUCCUCAUCUGCAUCUCUACCAUCUAGAACACAUGGUCUCCUUGGUCCUAGCAUCAGGGGAAGAAGGCAUGUAAAGUCACACACUGGUUCUUAUGCGCUUUGAC